UACGAAGGGGGCUAGCGUUGUUCGGAAUUACUGGGCGUAAAGCGCACGUAGGCGGACAUUUAAGUCAGGGGUGAAAUCCCGGAGCUCAACUCCGGAACUGCCUUUGAUACUGGGUGUCUUGAGUGUGGAAGAGGUGAGUGGAAUUCCGAGUGUAGAGGUGAAAUUCGUAGAUAUUCGGAGGAACACCAGUGGCGAAGGCGGCUUUCUGGCCCGUUCUUGACGCUGAGGCGCGAAAGCUAGGGUAGCAAACGGG
rnacentral:rRNA from 1 species